rnacentral:rRNA from 1 species
UACGUAGGGUGCAAGCGUUGUCCGGAAUUAUUGGGCGUAAAGAGCUCGUAGGCGGUUUGUUGCGUCGGCUGUGAAAUCCCGAGGCUCAACCUCGGGUCUGCAGUCGAUACGAGCAAACUAGAGUGUUGCAGGGGAGACUGGAAUUCCUGGUGAUAGCGGUGAAAUGCGCAGAUAUCAGGAGGAACACCGGUGGGCGAAGGCGG